AUACGAAGAUCCCAAGCGUUAUUCGGAAUCACUGGGCGUAAAGAGUACGUAGGCGGUUUGGUAAGUCAGGUGUGAAAUCCCGGAGCUCAACUCCGGAACUGCAUCCGAUACUGCCAGACUUGAGUAAUGGAGAGGCAGGUGGAAUUCUCGGUGUAGCAGUGAAAUGCGUGGAUAUCGAGAGGAAGACCAAUGGCGAAGGCAGCCUGCUGGACAUUUACUGACGCUGAGGUACGAAGGCUAGGGGAGCGAACAGGAUUAGAAACCCCAGUAGUCC
rnacentral:rRNA from 1 species